rfam:Picea glauca, whole genome shotgun sequence.
GUCGUUGUAGUAUAGUGGUGAGUAUUCCCGCCUGUCACGGGGGUGACCCGGGUUCGAUCCCCGCCAACAGCG